rnacentral:rRNA from 1 species
AUUGAACGCUGGCGGCAUGCCUUACACAUGCAAGUCGAGCGGCAGCGCGGGGGCAACCCUGGCGGCGAGCGGCGGACGGGUGAGUAAUACAUCGGAACGUGUCCUUUCGUGGGGGAUAACCAGUCGAAAGACUGGCUAAUACCGCAUGAGAUCUCACGAUGAGAGCGAGGGAUCCGCAAGGCCUCGCGCGAUUGGAGCGGCCGAUGUCGGANAGCUAGUUGGCGGGGUAAAAGCCCACCAAGGCUACGAUCCGUAGCUGGUUUGAGAGAACGACCAGCCACACUGGGACUGAGACACGGCCCAGACU